CACCAGGCCUGGGGGCAGAGCGCUGUGCCGGUGGUUCCGGAGGAAGAGGAGGCAGUAGUGCAAAUCCAGAGUGUGGAGGUGCUGCAUUCUGCUCCUCACUGCCGCUCCAACGCCAACCCGAAGAGCAACCACCAAGAGCCCCAAAGCAAACCGCGUCCCCAGCCAUAACCAGAACUCCAAGCUGAGCCUCAAGCACGGCCAUCAGCCCAGCUGACUUGCGGAAACUCCGUGACCACAAAGGAGCGAUAAAAGCAGAGGAAUUGCCUGAGUUGCCACCCCUGCGCAGCCGGAUCCGUGUCACCUUUGUGGUGAAAAGCAGCCGAGAACAGGCGAUGUCAGGAAGGAGAGCAGUCAGCUGCCAGCGUCCCGGGGGCAUCUUCUGCCAAAAAGCAGCCUCAGAACAAAAGAAGGGAAAAUGCUCUGCCAAAAACAAAGCGACAGAGAUGGGUCCGGCACAGGCAGCGCAACCUGCAGGUGGCAAAGGAGAAGAACACGGCGCGGUGAAGCCCCCGGUGGAGGAGGAGAGCUGGAAAAGGCCCAGGCCGAGCUCAGAAAGCACUGCGGAGCCCCAGCCCUGCACCAAGCACCGCUGGCAGCCCUGCGGUCCUCGAGCAGCUGCAGCGCCUCUGCUGCGGUGCCACGGACACAAAGGGGACCAGAUGUGUGCAGAGUCAGCCGCCAGAGAGCAAAGCGGGGCUCCCCAGGAGCGGGACGGCCUGUCCACACCGAGCAGGGCAUGGGGUGCAAGGAGAAGCAGAGCCCCACCUGAGGCUGCAGAGCAGAUGCACGAUUCCUAUCCACGCCAUUCCUGAAGCCUUCUUUGGUUCUGGCUCACAGUUUGCUUGCUGAGGCGCUCCUUGCCAUGAGACUCCGACUUAUCCAGGAGAUGAGAGGUGGCAACCAACA